CAUAGGGUGGUCUAAUUUAUGAUCUUAGCUUUGGGAGUUAAGGAUGGGAGUUAAAAUCUUCCCCCUUUGA
rnacentral:tRNA from 1 species